rnacentral:rRNA from 1 species
AGUGAACGCUGGCGGUAGGCCUAACACAUGCAAGUCGAACGGCAGCACAGUAAGAGCUUGCUCUUACGGGUGGCGAGUGGCGGACGGGUGAGGAAUACAUCGGAAUCUACUUUUUCGUGGGGGAUAACGUAGGGAAACUUACGCUAAUACCGCAUACGACCUACGGGUGAAAGCAGGGGAUCUUCGGACCUUGCGCGAUUGAAUGAGCCGAUGUCGGAUUAGCUAGUUGGCGGGGUAAAGGCCCACCAAGGCGACGAUCCGUAGCUGGUCUGAGAGGAUGAUCAGCCAAACUGGACCUGAGACACGGUCCAGACUCCUACGGGAGGCAGCAGUGGGGAAUAUUGGACAAUGGGCGCAAGCCUGAUCCAGCCAUACCGCGUGGGUGAAGAAGGCCUUCGGGUUGUAAAGCCCUUUUGUUGGGAAAGAAAAGCAGCAGGUUAAUACCCCGCUGUUCUGACGGGACCCAAAGAAUAAGCACCGGCUAACUUCGU